AAACAUGUCUUGAAGAUUAUAAUUUUAAGUCUAAUCUGCUCCAUGAUUAAAUAUUAAAUAGCUGCAGAAUAUUAACUGUACAAAGGUAGCAUAAUCAAUAGUUUUUUAAUUAAAAGCUGGAAUGAAAGAUUUAAUAAAGUAAAAAGUGUCUCAAAUUUAAUAAAAUUAAAAUUUUUUUAUUAGUAAAAAUACUAAUAUAAUUUUGAAAGACGAGAAGACCCUAUAGAUUUUUAUAUUUUAUUUAUAAAUUAAUUUAAAUUUAUAAAUAAUAUUUAUUUAAUUAAAAUAUUAGAUUGGGGUAAUUAUUAAAUUUAUAAAAUUUUAAUAUUUAAAUAACAUUAAUUAAUGGUUAUAUGAUCUUAAAUUUUAAAAUAUAAGAACAAAAUACCUUAGGGAUAACAGCGUAAUUUUUUUAGAGAGAUCUUAUUAAUAAAAAAGUUUGCGACCUCGAUGUUGAAUUAAGAUAAAAUUUUAAUGAAGAAGUUAAAAAUUUUUGGUCUGUUCGACCAUUAAAAUCUUACGUGAUCUGA
rnacentral:rRNA from 1 species